AUCUCUUAUUCUCUGCAUAUACUUUUCAACGUGGGAUUGCACCAAGGCAUCAAAAAACUUUGUAUUGGAGAAAGGGUGAGUGCCAAGCAUUUCUGUUUUAUUUAUAUAUAUAUAUAUAUAUAUAUAUAUAUAUAUAUAUAUAUAUAUUUUAUUUUUUUGGGGACAUAUAAAAAAAGACAACUCUGUUCUGCUGUAGCUGUUGAAAGUAGCUGUUGACAUUAUAGUUGCGCAGGCACUUUGUUGACGCUAGAGAACCUCGGGCCAAUCGCAACUUUCAAUGCCAGUUUCUCCGCCUACCAUGGUGACCACGGGUAACGGGGAAUCAGGGUUCCAUUCCGUACAGGGACCCUGAGAAACGACUACCGCAUGCAAGGAAGGCAGCAUGCAUGCAAAUGACCCACUCCCGACGCGGGAAGGUAGUGACGACAAAUAACAAUACAGAACUCUUUAGAGACCCUGUAAUUGUAAUGAGUCCACUUGAAAUCCUUUAACUCUGAUCAAUUGGAGGGAAGUCUGGUGCAGAGCCACUGACCUGUGUGUGCUGCAGCUGAAACUCCACU